GACGAACGCUGGCGGCGCGCCUAACACAUGCAAGUCGAACGAGCGAGAGGAGGUUGACUUUCUCAAGCGAGUGGCGAACGGGUGAGUAACGCGUGAGGAACCUGCCUCAAAGGGGGGGACAACAGGUGGAAACGACUGCUAAUACCGCAUAAGCCCACGACCCGGCAUCGGGUAGUGGGAAAAGGAGCAAUCCGCUUUGAGAUGGCCUCGCGUCCGAUUAGCUAGUUGGUGAGGUAAUGGCCCACCAAGGCGACGAUCGGUAGCCGGACUGAGAGGUUGAACGGCGACAUUGGGACUGAGACACGGCCCAGACUCCUACGGGAGGCAGCAGUGGGGAAUAUUGCACAAUGGGGGAAACCCUGAUGCAGCGACGCCGCGUGGAGGAAGAAGGUCUUCGGAUUGUAAACUCCUGUUGUUGAGGAAGAUAAUGACGGUACUCAAAAAUGAAGUGACGGCUAACUACGUG
rnacentral:rRNA from 1 species